CAUUAUGGUGGGGCGUAGCGGGGGAGCUGAAAAGCUCGCUGGUUUCUUUCGUACCAGUCUUCGAACCCUGUUACGUCUCGCCACCCGU
rnacentral:antisense_RNA from 1 species